UGAUUCCUCAAAAAGAAAAAGAAAAAAAUGAUAUUGCAUUUGUUUGUGUUUCUAGAGCUAUUAAAUACCUGGCUUGGCUGGUUCCAUGUGGUUUGCAGUAGAAAAGACAUUGGAUGGCAACCCUCGAAGUCCAAAAGCAGCCCAAACGACCCAAGUAUCGGGAAAGCAGCGUCUCUCCCUCUGUAAACCCGCAGCGGCGCACUCCCGAGGCCGAAUCUCCCUCCAGCUACAGCCACAGGACCCGCUUCUCUCCAAUAAUGGACUUUUUUCAUUCUUCUUCUCCCACAUCCAACCAUGACUCUUUCCCUUCUAGCUUCUCCAAGUUCAACUCCGCCCUCACCGCUGGCCUCUUAAACCCAUUGUCCCCCCCUCCCGACAAGACCCGAUCCAGCCCUACCCUCUUCGAAAUCAUGGCCAGCGAGCCCGACGUCCCCCACAGGCCCACCCCUCUCAUCCCUCCAACCCCCAACCCCUACCCCAACAAGCCCCUUAUUCUUGAUCCUCAUGCCCUCUUGAUGCAGCGCAUAUCCGAGCUCCUUGUUUCUCGCAGCCCCGGUAAUCAGUUCAACGACGCCGUUUCCAGCGACAUCAAGCUCACUCUCACCUCCAAAGACGGUACUUGUGUCUCCAUGAACUUGCAUCGCCAAAUCCUCGUUGCUCACAGUAGAUUCUUCUCUGUCAAGCUCUCCGAUCGCUGGACCAAGCACCAGCAGGAGCUGCAGCGCUCCCCGGUGCCCUACGAAGUUGAAAUCGCCGACUGCGACGAUGUUGAGGUUUACAUUGAGACUUUGAGGUUGAUGUAUUGUAAGGAUCUUAGGAAGAAGCUCAUGAGGGAGGAUGUCUCCCGAGUUCUCGGCAUUUUAAAGGUUUCAGCUGCGAUUGGGUUUGAUGCUGGGGUUUUGUCUUGUUUGGAGUACUUGGAAGCAGCGCCAUGGGCGGAGGAUGAGGAGGAGAAGGUGGCAUCGCUCCUGUCUGAGCUUCGUCUUGAAGCAGUUGGAGCUGGGGAGGUUUUGAAGAGGGUUUCGACUGGUGUUGCCAAUGGAAAUGAAGAGGGGAGUGAUAACGAGGAGGUUCUACUUAAGCUUAUUCGUGUGGUUCUUGAAGGGAAGGAUGAGAAGGCCAGGCGCGAGAUGAAAGGGUUAGUUUCGAAGAUGCUGCGUGAGAAUUCUUCUCAGAGUGAUCUUCGGAAAGAGUCAUUGUACUUGGCAUGUGACGAUUGCCUGCAGUUACUUCGUCACCAUUUUUUGCAGGCUGUGGCUUCGGAUAUGCAGGAUUUGAGUCAAAUUGCAAGGCAAGCAGAUAAUUUGCAUUGGAUUUUGGAUAUUUUAGUUGACAGACAGAUUGCCGAGGAUUUCCUCAAGACGUGGGCAUCUCAGUCAGAUUUAGCUGAAGCUCAUUCUAAAGUGCCGGCAGUUCACAGGUUUGAGGUUAGCAGAGUUACAGCAAGGUUGUUUGUUGGGAUUGGGAAAGGACAAUUGUUGGCUUCUAAAGAUGUAAGGUGUUUGCUUCUAAAAACUUGGCUGGUGCCCUUUUAUGAUGACUUUGGUUGGAUGAGGAGGGCAUCCAAGGGGCUUGAUAGGCACCUAAUUGAGGAUGGUCUUAGUAACACGAUUCUCACUCUGCCGCUCCCCUGUCAACAGGAUAUUUUGCUUGCUUGGUUUAAUCGUUUCUUGAAUUCUGGUGAAGAUUGCCCAAAUAUUCAAAGAGGGUUUGAAGUUUGGUGGAGAAGGGCUUUCUGGAAGAGGAAUGGAGAGCAAGAACGGACAAGACAAUUUCGAAUUGCAACUACAUCAGUUGAGAACCCUUGAGGAUAGAUUGUUCCACUGUGGAGGAAUUGGCAGCAAAUUACUGGUUUAUGAUCAAGCUGGUCAAUACUAUCCUUUUGGCUAUAAGGAUCUCUUAUUCGUUACUAUGCUCUGGCAUUAUUCUCUUAAUGCAGUUUCCUUGACGAAAUAUAAGUUUCUGACCGUUCAAUGCAAACUCCUGAGCAAGAGUUCAAAGUAGUUGAAUGCUGUGAAAGUAUGGUUGGCCUUCAAUUUUCCAAGUUCCUAAGAGGAGCCAAAAUUUUCAAGUUCAGCAACUCGUGGCAGGUUAAGUUCUUCCAUUGAGUUCAUGGAAGGUUCAACAUAAGGCUAAUUUCUUUUUAUGUAGAGCAUCGAAUAGCUUUGAAUGCAAGGAAGAUGAUGACGACGAGGAUGAAUAUACUUAAAUAUCUUUCUUGCAAAUUAGUUUAUGUUGAUUAUUAAAUGGUAUUGAGUAUUGAAUAUAUUCAAUCGGUUGUGUUAUAUGAGAAUAACUUAGAUGGAGGUUUAACUGUGGGAAUAUAAUUUGUUUCUUUACUGAUGA